AAAGACAGUUGGUGACCUACCCGCUUCAUUUGCUGCAUGACAUAGGUGCCAUCAGCCCAUAGGACAGCAAGGAACCCCUUCUGCCUCUGCUUCCACAGGUGGUCUUAGUCUUAUGGGCUCAACUGUGUUCCCCCAAAGGACACACUGGCGUCCUCACCCCAGUACCCAGGAUGUGACUCCCUCCUUGGAAACAGGGCCUUUCUAGAGGUAACUAUGGUUAAAUGAGCUCCUGAGAGGGGACCCUAUUCAUAUGACCAGUGUCCUUAUUUCAAGGGGAAAUGUGGACAGAGGCAGACAUGCACGGAGCAAAGAGAGAGAAGAGGCACAGGAGGAUGUCCUGUCAAGGUCAAGUGACACAGCCAUGAGCCUCAGGUGGCCAGUCCACCCAACCACGAGGACGGAGGCCUGGACCAGGGUCCCCCUUGCAGCGCUCGGGAGGCACCAACCCCACCCACCCCUUCAUCUCGGACUUGCACCUCCGGGGCUGGGAGAGGACGCGUUUCUGCUGUGCCAGCGCCCAGCUCCCGGGACUCUGCACCCACCACGCAGAGCAGAGGCACUGCUGACAGCACACCAACCUCAGCCCGUCGGACUGCUUGCAAUUUCCAGGCUCUUUUCGGUACAUACCAGGGACGCUACAAUGACGAAGGCCCUGAGGACUCCCAGUCGGCCCCCCAGCAGACUGGGUGACCAUGAAAGCAAAGGUCUCCAGGCAAACCCCAGCACACAGGGGAAUCUACAGCCAGGAGCAGAAACAGACAGACAGACGACUGGGUGAUGAUCCGGCCCUCCGCCCUUUACAUUCUGUCAGUACCGGGAACGCUAAUGCAGGAUGCUGCAACCAAAACUGCGUUCAGGCAGGCCUGCAGAGGGAGCUCGCACUGCCUCCCACGUGUCAUCAGUUACCCAAAGGAAGCGGGGUGUCCUGCGUCUCCAAGGAGAAGGUGCCGCUGCUUUACUGCCCCACCAGCAGGAAGGAAGGUCUUCCUGCCCAGCCAGCGGAAAACGCAGAACCUCGGCCCACGAGAAGCCCGGAACUCUUCCUUCCCUUUCCUCUCUAAAACCAGGCUCCCUUCCCUGGCUUGCCACUGGAUCACCAUGGCUUGCAUUUCCUGAAUUGCAAUUAUUCCGGUUAUUCCCAAAUCAACUAAAUGAGCUAAUAAAAAAAAAAACACAACUGGCUGUUUUGUUUUUCAAGUUGACAGUACUUAGCAUGAAAUUUUCACUCAAAGCAAGGGCUAUGACUUUAGAGGCAGAAUUCAGCUCACAAUCUGGUCUGAUGCGAUGGAACCCUUCACAGAGCGACGGCCUCCUCUCUGAACCAAGUGCCCGUCUGCACGCAUCACCGCAGAGCUGACUCUAAACUCGACCUGAAACGUCAGCCCAUCAAAGAAACAGAGGAAGUGACUAAAGCAUCGCCUCCUAAAGAGACGCUCACCCAGACAGGUUUAUUAUCAAGUCAGUUCAAACUUUCAAGGAACAGAUAAUCCCCAUGCAAUAUAAACUGUUCCUGAGCAGUAAAAAAAUGAAACUUUUAAUGUCUACUACAAGUAAGAACCAUCGUGAUACCACAACCUCACAGAAAAUAAACCAAACCAACUAUGAACAGAUUCCAAAAUGCAACCAGCUGAAUGAACUAAAGAGCAACCAAUCGAAUCAAAGUGCAUAUUCAUCUAAGAUCACCUCUCACCGUCCAUUCGGGUUCUCGAGGAACGCUCAAGUAUUGUAAUAUCAGAAAACCAACUAAAGAACCUCACUGACCGAUGUGCAGUCAUCUUAAUGGACAUUGAAGAGGCCCUGGGGAACAUGCAGCACAUAUUCAGAACGAACACCCCAAGAAAAGCGGAAACAGGAAAUGAUCUUCUCAGCACAGCCAAGACCAUUUGUCUUCAAUAAGCUGAACCUGAAGAGUCAAAUGCUGAACACGUUCACACAGAAUCAGAAAGAGAGGCAGAGUCGGCAGGCACAGGGAAAGAUGCUCCAGAGACCAGCUCACACUGGUCAGAACGGCCGUCAGUACUAACUCCACAGAUAGCAAAUGCUGGAGGGGGUGUGCAGAAAAGGGAACCCUCCUUCACUGUUGGUGGGAAGGUCAAUCGGUACGACCACUAUACAAAAUAGUAUGGAGGUUCCUCAAAAAAACUAAAUUGAAAACUACUGUAUGAUCCAGCAAUGCCAUUCCUGAGCAUUUGGACAAAACUACGAAAAGGUACAUGCACCCCUCUGUUCACAGCAACACUAUUCCCAACAGCCAAGACAUGGAAACAACCUAAAUGUCCAUCAACAGAGGAAUGGAUGAAGAAGAUGCGGUACAUGUACACAAUGGAAUAGUACUCAGCCAUAAAAAAGGUCAUCCAUUGCAACGUGGAUGCAACUAGAGACCCUCAUAUGAAGUGGCUUAGAAAGAGGACAAAUAUCAUGAUGUCACUGGCACGUGGCAUCUAAAAUAUGGUACAAAUGAACCUAUCCACCAAGCAGAAACAGGGAGUUCCCUUCAUGGCUCAGCAGUUAACAAACCCGACUAGGAUCCUCGAGGAUGUGGGUUCGAUCCCUGGCCUCAAUGGGUUAAGGAUCCGGCGUUGCUGUGAGCUGUGGUGUAGGCCCGGAGCUAUAGCUCCGAUUUGACCCCCCAGCCAGCCUGGGAACUUCCAUAUGUCUCAAGUGCAGCCCUAAAAAGCAAAAUACACACACACACACAAAACAGACUCACAGACAUAGAGAACAGACUUGUGGUUGCCAAGAGAGAGGAGGGAGGGAGGGAGUGGGAUGGACUGGGAGUUUGAGGUUAGCAGAGGCAAACCAUGGCCUUCAGAAUGGAUAAACAAGGCCCAACUGUACAGCACAGGGAACUAUAUUCAAUCACCUGGGAUAGACGAUGACGGAAAAAAGUAUUUUAAAAAGAAUGUAUAUAUAAUAACUAUAUGUAUGAUUGAGUCACUUUGCUGUACAGCAGAAAUUGGAACACUAUAAAUCAGCUAUCAUUUUUUAAAAGGCAAUACGAAAAAUACAACAGAGUCAUUUUACUGCACAGCAGAAAUUAACACAAUACUGUCAAAUCCACUAUAGUACAAUAAAAUCUUUUUAAAAAUCCGAAAAAAGAAAAUUGUGCCAUUUGCAGCAACAUGGAUGGAACUAGAGACCCUCAUCCUGAGUGAAAUAAAUCAGAAAGAGAGACAAAUACCCCAUGAUAUCACUUUUAGCUGGAAUCUAAUACACGGCACAAAAGAACCUUUCCACAGAAAAGAAACUCAUGGACUUGGAGAACAGACUUGUGGUUGCCACAGGGGAAGGGGAGGGAGUGGGGUGGUUGGGGAGCUUGGGGUGCAGAGAUGCAGACUCUUGCCUUUGGAAUGGAUAAGCAAGCAGAGCCUGCUGUGUAGCACUGGGGACUAUGUCUAGUCACUUACGAUAGAGCGUGAUAAUGUGAGAAAAAAGAAUGUAUACGUGUAUGUGUGACCGGGUCACCAUGCCGGACAGUAGAAAAUUGACAGAACACUGUAAACCAGCUAUAAUGGAAAAAAAUAAAAAUUGUAUUUAAAAAAUCUGAAAAAAGGCAGAAAUAUUUGCUAUCACCAUUAUUGCUGAACAUUUUUUUAGAUAAAUCUGGCCAAUUAAAUGACCUAUACAAUAGAAAUUAGUUAUAAUCACUGCAGAAAAAGCAAAAUUAUUCUUGGAGAUGAUUUUUUACUCCUAGAAAAUCCAAUGAAUAACUACAUAACCAUCUGAAUAUGAAAGCUUAACAGGGUGCUCCGAUGACACACGCGGAUACAAAAAUCUGUACGUUUCCUACCCACCAGCCACACGUGCUUCGACAAUCUCCUGAGAAAGUUUACGCUCCCAACAAAAAAAGCGACCUACUCUGGAAAAGCCUCACAAGAAAGGUACAGAUGCUACAUGCAGAAUCUUACCGGGGCCUAUGCAGCGGUCAGGGUACUUUCGGCAGAUGCUCUCGGCUUCCCAAGAAGCUGGAAAGGAGACUCACCAGAGAAGGGCCUUGUCUCUUUUAGACCCAAGUUAGACCCGCCAUGGGCAAAACAGGGCCUGGGGCACAGUAAGCAGCUAUCACGGAGGCGUUGCUGCAGACAACGCCAAGGUCUCAGAGGCUGCCACACAACACACGGCAUGGCGUGACAGGUGGGCAGAGAUGCUCCCAGGCAGACUCCCUUCCGGGGCUCUGGGUGCAUGCCUGGCCCCCAUCCGCCCAUGCUGUUCUAACAGCCAAGAGCCGUGGCCCAAUCCAGUGUUUAAAUGACCCUUAAAGCAUGGUGCUUCACUGUGGCGUCUGUCACUUCUGAUCACAUCCACUGGCCAAGGCCAGUUAUGUGGCAGCGCCAGAUUUCUUUGAGACGGGAAAGAAAAGGCCGCUUACAGGGAGAGGUGUGAGUUGAACCACAGCGUUAAAUGGUUCCCAAUGAAUACAGAUUCAGUGUUCAACCGAGUCUUAUGGAAGACGUCCAAGUUCACAGGUACUGGAUGAAAUAAAUAAGUAAAAAAU
rnacentral:lncRNA from 1 species